CACAGUGCAGGGCCGGGCUGAAGGGCUCCUUAAGGGCGGCCAGAGUUGGCGCCAAGGCUGAGGAGGUGCCCAGAGCGAGCGAGGGCUGCCAGGGCUGCUAGCAGGCUGUCACCUCUCAAUAGCAGUUUUGUAUAUGGGAUCUAGCCCCUCCCUAAGAGGUUGAUUCUAAGGAAGCCAACAGCCGUGUUGUGAGUACCCAAUGGAAAGUCUGUUGUGGCAGAAAACUGAUGUCUCCAGCCAACAGCACUGAGGCCCUGAGACCUGCCAACUGUCAUGAUCUUCCGAUGCCUGGACACAGAAAGAGCAGUGGAAGGGGUCGUUGCAUGAGCAAAGACAAAGAGUGGGACACUGACUGUUACAUCUCAAGGAGAAGGAUUGCCAGAUCAAAAGUCUUGCAGUUAACCAGGCGUGGUGGCAGAUACCUGUAAUCCCAGCUAUUCGGGAGGCUGAGGCAGGAGAAUCGCUUGUACCCGGGAGGCAGAGGUUGCAGUGAGCUGAGACCGCGCCAUUGACUCCUGCCUGAUGACAAGAGAGAAUCUACGUCUCAACAACAACAACACGCUUGGGCACUGUAUUAACUCCAUAAUCAUCUAAAUUUUAUUGGGAACAGCUAGUUUGACAAGCAUAGACCAGAUGUCCAGUUGUCAUUCAUUCAGCAGGAGCAGCAAGAUUCAAUCAUGUUUUUAUUAUAUUAUUUCCUGAAACUUGUGGCUGUAACAAUGAAGUUUGAGGAUUGGUCUGUGUAAGUAUGGCAGAAGUGAUGUUAAGUCGCUUAUGAGAUUAGGGUAUAAAAGACUAAGGCUUCCAUGCUUCCAUCUUGGUCUCUGUCUCUCAGAGAACAGUCAUGUGAAUGAUUCUUCUUGAAAGUAAAUCUUCCAGCCCCAGUCCAGUAUUCAAAUGAUCCAGCAACAUUGCAACUUAUGAGAGACCUUGAGCCAUCCAGGUAACAUGCUUCCAAAUCCUGACCCUUAAAACCUGUAAAAUAAUAAAUGUGGUUUUAAACUCUUAAGUAAUUUGUUACAUAGUAAUAAAUAGCUAAUACACCGU
ensembl:lncRNA MIR4300HG MIR4300 host gene